rnacentral:rRNA from 1 species
AUCCUGGCUCAGGAUGAACGCUAGCUAUAGGCUUAACACAUGCAAGUCGAGGGGAAACGACAUCGAAAGCUUGCUUUUGAUGGGCGUCGACCGGCGCACGGGUGAGUAACGCGUAUCCAACCUGCCCACCACUUGGGGAUAACCUUGCGAAAGUAAGACUAAUACCCAAUGAUAUCUCUAGAAGACAUCUGAAAGAGAUUAAAGAUUUAUCGGUGAUGGAUGGGGAUGCGUCUGAUUAGCUUGUUGGCGGGGUAACGGCCCACCAAGGCUACGAUCAGUAGGGGUUCUGAGAGGAAGGUCCCCCACAUUGGAACUGAGACACGGUCCAAACUCCUACGGGAGGCAGCAGUGAGGAAUAUUGGUCAAUGGACGAGAGUCUGAACCAGCCAAGUAGCGUGCAGGAUGACGGCCCUAUGGGUUGUAAACUGCUUUUAUAAGGGAAUAAAGUGAGUCUCGUGAGACUUUUUGCAUGUACCUUAUGAAUAAGGACCGGCUAAUUCCGUGCCAGCAGCCGCGGUAAUACGGAAGGUCCGGGCGUUAUCCGGAUUUAUUGGGUUUAAAGGGAGCGUAGGCCGGAGAUUAAGCGUGUUGUGAAAUGUAGAUGCUCAACAUCUGCACUGCAGCGCGAACUGGUUUCCUUGAGUACGCACAAAGUGGGCGGAAUUCGUGGUGUAGCGGUGAAAUGCUUAGAUAUCACGAAGAACUCCGAUUGCGAAGGCAGCUCACUGGAGCGCAACUGACGCUGAAGCUCGAAAGCGUGGGUAUCGAACAGGAUUAGAUACCCUGGUAGUCCACGCGGUAAACGAUGGAUGCUCGCUGUUUGCGUCUGACGUAAGCGGCCAAGCGAAAGC